ACAUGGCCGUACAAUCUCGAAGAAUGGACCUCCUAUUGUUGUAGUACACGUGGUAACAAACCAACCACCAGGUCUCCCUCAAACAACGUUAGGAUCUUCACGUCCAACAGACACGUGGCACACAUGGAGAAGUGAUGCGUCAGCGGAGGAGAGCGAUAUUAACUUGGGUGAUUCAGGAAUGGAGAGUUGGGAAAGAGAACAGGGAAGCAAAGAGAGGAGGUUUUUACAUAUUCCUAAUGCUGUGGUAAAAUCAGCUCGUUCGUUCUUGAUCUCUCUAUAGUAUCUCUCCUAGGAGGGAGGGAGGGAGGGAGGGAGGGAGGGCGGAAAAACUUCCACCAUGGGGUUGUGUGAUAAGCUGCGAAGAGUUUGGAACGGCAUCGCUUUGCGUCUUUGGAUUCGCAAACGCGGACUACUGAAGCUACGGCAUGAUGUAAGAGCUUGUGAGUACGCUGAUGUGCAUGUAAUGUGGAAGAUGCUGAGAAGAAAUGAAACUGAAACUGUUCAAUUCUCAAGAAAGCGCGAAAACAAAUCCUUGUGGGAUUGUUUUCACUGGGCUAGGUGCACCUCCAUAUCUUGAGCGGGCUUUCUUAUCAUCUCUUUGAAGACGAGGAAAGACUUCUCAGACAACAGUUAUCCGGAUGAUUGCGUUUGGGAUACCAGUAAUUUCUCACAAUAAAAGAGGAAGGAAGGCUCCAUGUACAAGAUAUCCUCCCUUUCCUCCGCCCCGCCGUGUGGAUAUGUUCCAUCUCUUCUUUAUCUUUAUGUGUUCAUCUCCAGCGGAAUAAACGAUGUUUUUGCGGCUAUAUAAAUUGCGUUCCAUGCUGUUGUGCUAUUGUCAUUUAUGAGUGACCUGCAUUGUAUCAUCGUCCUUUUGUUUCCA